ACCGAUCAUGGUGCAUAGUUUGGGACAAUCAACUCAACUUCACCAAAAUGAAAUUCGUGUCGCUCUUGCUCGCUGUGGCGAUGGCUCUGUCUGCCCUGCUGGGGACAGCACGAGCCAUGCCUGAGCCAGAAGCCCUGGCCGACGCCGACCCUUGGGCCCAUAGAAUAGGCUAUGGAGGAAGCUACGGACGAGGACGUUACUAUGGAGGAGGAGGCUAUCGCGGAGGCUAUUAUGGACGCGGCCACGGCUGGUAAACGAAGACUCCGCCUUCCGUGACCUCCGACUGAAACUUCUCUCGAUUUAUCUGAAUGACAACGAACCUAUUUCCGAUUUUGCUACAUGGAAUUAUACCAGGAAUUAGUCCUAUCGUUUUGUUUUCUUUUUCUGAGUGGUUCCUUAAUCAAAUUUCUAACGUCUGUCAUUUGUUGUCUUCGAUCGAUUUUUAAUUAUAUUCCUUCGAUGAUGA